rnacentral:rRNA from 1 species
UACGUAGGGUCCGAGCGUUGUCCGGAAUUAUUGGGCGUAAAGGGCGCGUAGGCGGUUCGUCGCGUCGGCUGUGAAAUCCCGAGGCUCAACCUCGGGUCUGCAGUCGAUACGGGCGGACUGGAGUUCGGCAGGGGAGACUGGAAUUCCUGGUGUAGCGGUGAAAUGCGCAGAUAUCAGGAGGAACACCGGUGGCGAAGGCGGGUCUCUGGGCCGAUACUGACGCUGAGGAGCGAAAGCGUGGGGAGCGAACAGG